rnacentral:rRNA from 1 species
UUAAAUGAAUUGACGGGGCCCGCACAAGCGGUGGAGCAUGUGGUUUAAUUCGAAGCAACGCGAAGAACCUUACCAGGUCUUGACAUCCCCUGACAACCCGAGAGAUCGGGCGUUCCCCCUUCGGGGGGACAGGGCGACAGGGUGGUGCAUGGUUGUCGUCAGCUCGUGUCGUGAGAUGUUGGGUUAAGUCCCGCAACGAGCGCAACCCUUGUCAUUAGUUGCCAUCAUUUAGUUGGGCACUCUAAUGAGACUGCCGGUGACAAACCGGAGGAAGGUGGGGAUGACGUCAAGUCCUCAUGGCCCUUAUGGGUAGGGCUUCACACGUCAUACAAUGGUCGGUACAGAGGGUUGCCAAGCCGCGAGGUGGAGCCAAUCCCUUAAAGCCGAUCGUAGUCCGGAUCGUAGUCUGCAACUCGACUACGUGAAGUUGGAAUCGCUAGUAAUCGUAGAUCAGCAUGCUACGGUGAAUACGUCCCCGGGCCUU